AAUUGACUGUUGAACAUUAUAUUCACAUAUAUUUAUUUGGAAAAGUAUGGUAGUUUUGAUGAUAAGUGAUGAAAUAUCAGAUGUGUUAGUUGAGGUUCUGAGCAGAUUUGAAGUCCACUUUCAUCAUCAGUUUCAUGGAGUAUGUUGAUUUUACUUUAUGCGAUUGUUAUAGUUAGGAUACAUGUAUAUGCUAUAAAAGUGAAACUUGUAAAAUUAAGAAAGGUUCUGUUGAAAUAAUAAUUGUACUUACUGAUCACCUGGACUAAGCAAAAUAAGAACUCAUAUAGAAAAAAUGUGAUAAAAUAGUUUUAAUCAACCUAUAUGCGUUUUCUUUAAUAGUGCUGAGUUGACCAUAAAUCCUUUAAACUGGUACAGGUCAUGUACGGAUCAAAGAUGACCUAGUUAUUACUAGCCAAACUUAAUUCUGUUAGCAAUGCUGUUCAAACCUGCCCAGAUGCGUUAAAAUUCUGACAUCUGAUGGAAGACAAUACAGAACUUAAACAUUAGCAUUUAUCUUAGGGAUAACUACGGGAUAAUUAUUAUUUUACACCAUUCAUUUUAAAGUACUUUUUUAGUUUCAAAAAACUUCAUUAUACAUGUUUUUCUGAGGACUGUAAAGUCAUUUAAUUUUGUUGACUUAAGAUUUCCUGCUUUCUUUAAAAAUGGCAAACUUGUUUGAAUUUGUCUUAAAUAAUUCCAAAUUAAAGAGGUGACCAAUAGUAUUUGGAUUUUAUUUUGUUGAUUGAUGCUACCACAUUUUUCUCCAAUAAAUAAAAGAUUACGCUAUUUUGCUUCUAAAUGUUCAGAGAUCAGCACUACCUUGGCAUCGUACAGCACUUAAGAUUUUCCUUUUAUUGUAUGCAUAAUGAGAUUUGUGAAUAUUUUACCGGAAAAGGUGUCAGAGUUGUUAAAGUAUUUUAACAAUAUUUGCUUUUUAGCUCACCUGUCACAUAGUGACAGGGUGAGCUUUUGUGAUCACCUUUUGUCGUCCGUCCGACAUCCGUUCACAAUUUCCUGUGAACUCGAGAUUUUUAUCAGACUUGCACACAAUUUGUAUUGGCGUAAUAUCUCGGAUCUUUUCAAAAACUAGCCAGAUCCCAUCAUGUGUUCCAGUGUCAUGGCCCCUUAAAGGGCCAAAAUUUGCUAUUUUGGCUUUUGCAGCCAUAUACAGACUUCAUUUAUGGUUUUGGAGUUACGUCCCCUGAUUGACCUCGGAAAUAGCGUAAAUUUGUUAAUUUUUACCUUGAGAACACGAUAGAAGUAACAUUUUACAUUCUAUUUUAACAACACUUACACACAGCUUAUAGCCUUAAGGCACAAUAAUAUCUCAGUUCCUUUCGACAACCGGCUAGAUUCCAUCAUGGGUUCUAGAGUUACUGCGUCUGAAAGGGGCAAAAUUCAAUUUUGGCCCUUCCUUCAACUAUGCACCAGGUUAAAUCAAAGGAAAAGCUUGUUAACACCCAAGAGGCCACAUGUUAUGACCCUAUCUUCAUGAAACUUGGUCUGAAUAUUUAUCUUGAUGAUUCCUAUGCCAAGUUUAAAACUGAGUCAUCUGGGGUUAAAAAAAACUUGGUGACCCGGUCAAAUGAAAGGGGAAAGCUAGUUAUUACUCUUGAGGCCACAUUUAUGACCCUAUCUUCAUGAAACUUGGUCAGAAUGUUUAUCUUGAUGAUUCUUUGGUCAAAUUUGAAACUGGGUCAUGUGGGGUCAAAAACUAGGUCACCUGCUCAGAUCAAAGGAAAAGCUUGUUAACACUUUAGAGGCCUUAUUAUGACCCUAUCAUCUGAAACUUGGUCAGAAUACAUACCUUGAUGAUUCCAAGGCCAAGUUUAACAGGUGAGCAAUAUAGGGUCAUCAUGACCCUCUUGUUUCAUGAAUACAUAUGGUAUUUGUCCUUAAUUAUGCUCAUGUCCAUGGUCCUAAUUUACUCGGACAUUGUUCGUCAUAAGGGACAAAUACAUCGUCUGUUUAUGUAGGGUUAAGGGAAAAACGAUGAGUUUCUCUGGUGCAGCUGCAUGCUAUGUGUAUAUCUGUCUUAAACCAAAUCAAAAUAAACUAAAUAUCAGCAUUUGUUUUCAAAGAUAUGUUCUCCAAAGAUAAAUCCUAAUCAUUCACCAAACUCCACAGAGGUUUAUACAGAAAAACAUUAUAUAUUCAUAUCAGACCGUACAUCUUUGAAGGUGAAGAAUUUUGACCAUUAUUUGUCACAAAGAGAUGGAAAGAUUUGAAAUAAUUUAUUUGACUUUCUUACAUUUUUGGGAGAGAUUAAAUGUAUGUAGUACAAGAUCUUCAUGAAAAUAUAACUUCUGUUCAUCUUAAGCCACCAACUUUUACUGUUUGAGAAAUGAUAUUAAAGUUGUUUUUAUGCCCCCGAAGGGAGGCAUAUAUUUUUUGAACCGUCUGUCUGUCGGUCUGUCCGCAAUUUUCGUGUCCGGUCCAUAUCUUUGUCAUCGAUGGAUGGAUUUUCAAAUAACUUGGCAUGAAUGUGUACCACAGUAAGACGUGUCGCGCGCAAGACCCAGGUCCGUAGCUCAAAGGUCAAGGUCACACUUAGACAUUAAAGGAUAGUGCAUUGAUGGGCGUGUCCAGUCCAUAUCUUUGUCAUCGAUGGAUGGAUUUUCAAAUAACUUGGCAUGAAUGUGUACCACAGUAAGACGAUGUGUCGCGCGCAAGACCCAGGUCCGUAGCUCAAAGGUCAAGGUCACACUUAGACAUUAAAGGAUAGUGCAUUGAUGGGCGUGUCCGGUCCAUAUCUUUGUCAUCGAUGGAUUGAUUUUCAAAUAACUUGGCAUGAAUGUGUACCACAGUAAGACGACGUGUCACUAGCAAGACCCAGGUCCGUAGCUCAAAGGUCAAGGUCACACUUAGACGUUAAAGGAUAGUGCAUUGAUGGUCAUGUCCGGCCCAUAUCUUUGUCAUUGAUGGAUGGAUUUUCAAAUAACUUGGCAUGAAUGUGUACCACAGUAAGACGACGUGUCACACGCAAGACCCAGGUGAAUAGCUCAAAGGUCAAGGUCACACUUAGACGUUAAAGGAUAGUGCAUUGAUGGGCGUGUCCGGUCCAUAUCUUUGUCAUCGAUGGAUGGAUUUUCAAAUAACUUGGCAUGAAUGUGUACCACAGUAAGACGACGUGUCACACGCAAGACCCAGGUCCGUAGCUCAAAGGUCAAGGUCACACUUGGACGUUAAAGGUCAUUUUUUCAUGAUAGUGCAUUGAUGGGCAUGUCCGGUCCAUAUCUUUCGCAAGACCCAGCUCCGUAGGUCAAAGGUCCUAAACUCUAACAUCGGCCAUAACUAUUCAUUCAAAGUGCCAUCGGGGGCAUGUGUCAUCCUAUGGAGACAGCGCUUGUUUAAAUCUAGCAAAAUUAAUGCAGUUAUCCAUAGGCUCAUGUUUAGAACCUUGUAAUAUUUUUGUCAACUAGGGGUUUAGUUCGAGUCAGCAUUUUGACAGGUUUUAUAUAUCUUAAACAGCUAUUUUGCUAACCAUCAAAAGCAGUAUUUUGGCAGUAUGAGCUUGACAAUUAAAUGCUGUAUAUCAAUUUAUCAAAAUAUCAUUUUACCAGUGGAAUAUUUUAUAUUCUGAAAAAAACCACAUAAUUGAUAUAAGUGCUAAACAUGCCAAAUUAUAAUAUCUUCAGUUUAGGAAUUACAAUAUUAAUUUGGAGAGAGUUGGGGUAAGAUAUAUAAUGCUGUCUAUUGAAUUAAUUGUUGUGCUGUGAAUAUGGCUUUUUUGUCACGAUUGUCAAUAAAUUUUACAACUAUA